rnacentral:rRNA from 1 species
CCUACGGGAGACAGCAGUGGGGAAUAUUGGGCAAUGGGCGCAAGCCUGACCCAGCAACGCCGCGUGAAGGUAGAAGGCCUACGGGUUGUAAACUUCUUUUCUCAGGGACGAAGCAUGUGACGGUAUCUGAGGAAUAAGCUACGGCUAACUACGUGUAAGCAGCCGGGGUAAUAUGGAGGCGGCAAGCGUUAUCCGGAUUUACUGGGUGGAAGGGGCGUGUAGGCGGGGACGCAAGUCAGCUGUGAAAACCACGGGCUCAACCGGUGGCCUGCAUUUGAAACUGUGUUGCUUGAGUUCUGGAGAGGCAGACGGAAUGCCUGGUGUAGCGGUGAAAUGCGUAGAUAUUA